GGGGGAGGGGGUUUGGAUUAGACGCCUUUUCAAUGACACUGCACAGGACUGGCGUGUUUGUAUUAGGAUUGGUCGCCUUUAGGAGCACUGUGAUCCGGCCAAUAUGAACUUCUUCGGUUGCAUAUGGUGUUGGUGGAUGAAGUGGGUGAUGGUAUUCAUGGUCUUAUUCCAAAGGGAUAGAUUGUGAAAUUUCAGCCUCUUUUGCAGGAGGGUCAGGUGUAUUAUGUGCAGCAUGUAGAAGAUGUUGUGUGUAGACCUUAUCACACGACAUGUCAUAGAUUUGAGUUCAGGUUUACAGUAUGGACCAAUGUUGCUAGGAUAGAUCCUGUUUCGGAUGCUUUUCCACUGUAUGCGUAUAGACUUCGCUCUAUUAAGGAUAUAACGGCUACAGUGACUGACAAGACCUAUCUUGCAGAUGUUGUCGGCCUCAUCAAUGGAGUAUUAGCUCUUACACACAUAGACGUUAAAGGCAGACGGACUGCUAAGAGGAAUUUACGUAUAAGAGAGGGGAGAAAUACUACUAUUUUGGCUUUGUAGAGCGAGAAAGCUUUACAAAUAGAUGCUGAUGAGCUUAUAAGGAGAGGCCAUCACGAACCUAUCAUUGUUCUUGCUAUGGGUUGUACUUUUAAGAUGCAGAACUCAAUGCUUACGCUUACUGGGAAUUGUGGCUCUAAGAUCUGUCUGAACCUUGCUAAUCCUGACGUAUCUUCUUUUCGCAAUAGGAUUACUGGUAUGGAUCAUUAUAUUGAGCUAAUUGCUGAAAGAGCUUGCCGCCUUGGCACUAGUGAGAUUGAGCAGACAAUUGUUGCUUAUCUAGCAAGUGCUACAUGUUAUCAUGAACAAGGUCUUUAGGUGCAAGAUCACCGUCCAGGGUAUUGCGCUCAACCACACUUGGAAGGCUAUGGAGGAUGGUGAUGCAUAUCAUUGUACUAAUCUGAAUUGUGUUAACAGGACUGCUAGCCCUAGGUACAAGCUUCCUAUAAUCGUAGCUGAUGGAAACGCUACAGUGGAAAUGGUUUUCUUUGGUGAUGUUGAUAGGGAUGUUGUGGGCAGGCCAGCUGAUCAGGUGCUGGAGAGUUUUCUAGCAAAUAGCUCCGUCAUGCCAGCAAAGAUAAUGGCUCUGGUUGGAAGGAAAUAUAUUGUAGAGGUCACUGUGUCAAAGUAUUCUUGUAGGAGAGACAAGGAUGGGCUGAGCUUUCAAGUGCUCAAAUUUUUCACGGAGGCUGGUUUUAUGUACCAUGAUUUUGUUGUGGGUGUGGGUUCUUCCAGUAGCGCUCCAAUGCAGCAAGUUCCAUUUUCUGGAGGUGUACAUACCAGCCAUGCAGAGCUUCCUCAGGGUACCUGCUCGCUUCCAGUGGCGAUGAUGAAUACAGUUUCUAGCGUGCACACCAGUCAUGCUGAGCUUCCUCAGGACACUUCCUCACUUCCUAACGUGCGCACCAGUAAUACUGAGUUUCCUCAAGGCACUUCCUCACUUCCAGGGGACAUGUUGGGGACUGAAAUGCAGAAUCCAAAUCUUACUAAUGUUGCUCAGCUCAUGUCCAUGCGCCGAGAAGACAUGCUGGAGGCACAACCUCAAAAUGUGGGGUCUUGCUGACUUUCCUCAAGGCAUUCAUACGCCUCCAGGAGCCAUACUGGUUACUUUAUUCCUAUUUGCUUUUGUUGUUCGGUGUUGUUGGAUCUUUAGUUCUUCUAAAUAUUGUCUAUCUUUCAUAUGUUGUGUUCUUCAUGUCACCAUAUGAUCGUAUGCCUUUCUUUGAAAACUUUGUAUAGAUUGCGUUCCUGAGGCUUUUAUUCGUUUUUUAGCAAACACAGUCCCAUAACGUAUGCACUGCUGAUGUGCCGGACAAGACUAAGGUGAAGGAGACCAAGAAUAAAAGGUCACGUUGGAGUAAUGCAAAGUCGAUUGCAUCUAAAAACUUGUUCGUUGAUGGGAGCGACACAGCUGGACAUAGGGUGGACGAUAAGUGAUGGGAGCAGGUGGUUUGCAAGGUGGACGACAAGUGAUGGAAGCAGGCUGUUUUCUUAGGCACUUUGUCAGGAUUUCGUGUUCCCUAGGCUAGGCAUGCUUAUAUGUGAGAAUAGGAUUUAUGUAGUGGCGGUGCUUAGUGUCUUAGCCUCUGUAAACAGUAUCUGUUGCAUCCGUGGUGGUAUGGUCUAUGCGAUGGUUAAAAAAGAUUUCAGGUAAGCCUGUGUUUUGGAGUGUUGUUGUAUGAGACGAGUAAGCCAGUGUUUUGAUGUGUUGUUGUAUGAAAAACGGGCGCGGCGCAAGCGCGCGUAUCCCUCUAGUCAGUUACCAUAGCCGACAGAA